UACGGAGGGGGCUAGCGUUGUUCGGAAUUACUGGGCGUAAAGCGCACGUAGGCGGUUACUCAAGUCAGAGGCGAAAGCCCGGAGCUUAACUCCGGAAUUGCCUUUGAAACUAGGUGACUUGAAUCCAGGAGAGGUGAGUGGAAUUCCGAGUGUAGAGGUGAAAUUCGUAGAUAUUCGGAAGAACACCAGUGGCGAAGGCGGCUCACUGGACUGGUAUUGACGCUGAGGUGCGAAAGCGUGGGGAGCAAACAGG
rnacentral:rRNA from 1 species